ACAGAGGGUGCAAGUGUUGUUCGGAAUCAUUGGGCGUAAAGGGCGCGUAGGCGGUUUGGUAAGUCAGGUGUGAAAUCCCUGGGCUUAACUCAGGAACUGCAUUUGAAACUACCAAGCUAGAGUGCGAUAGAGGAGAGCGGAAUUCCCGGUGUAGAGGUGAAAUUCGUAGAUAUCGGGAGGAACACCAGUGGCGAAAGCGGCUCUCUGGGUCGACACUGACGCUCAGUGCGCGAAAGCGUGGGGAGCAAACAGGA
rnacentral:rRNA from 1 species